GGGGAAUAUUGGACAAUGGACCGCAAGUCUGAUCCAGCAAUUCUGUGUGCACGAUGACGUUUUUCGGAAUGUAAAGUGCUUUCAGUCGGGAAGAAGUCAGUGACGGUACCGACAGAAGAAGCGACGGCUAAAUACGUGCCAGCAGCCGCGGUAAUACGUAUGUCGCAAGCGUUAUCCGGAUUUAUUGGGCGUAAAGCGCGUCUAGGCGGCAAGGAAAGUCUGAUGUGAAAAUGCGGAGCUCAACUCCGUAUGGCGUUGGAAACUGCCUUACUAGAGUACUGGAGAGGUAGGCGGAACUACAAGUGUAGAGGUGAAAUUCGUAGAUAUUUGUAGGAAUGCCGAUGGGGAAGCCAGCGUACUGGACAGAUACUGACGCUAAAGCGCGAAAGCGUGGGUAGCAAACAGGAUUAGAUACCCUGGUAGUCCACGCUGUAAACGAUGAUUACUAGGUGUUGGGGGUCAAACCUCAGCGCCCAAGCUAACGCGAUAAGUAAUCCGCCUGGGGAGUACGUACGCAAGUAUG
rnacentral:rRNA from 1 species